rnacentral:piRNA from 1 species
UGUUCUUCAAAGAAUGCCCCUUCCCCUUG